GUGAUCUAGCCAUGGGCAGGUUGAAGGUUGGGUAACACUAACUGGAGGACCGAACCGACUAAUGUUGAAAAAUUAGCGGAUGACCUGUGGCUGGGGGUGAAAGGCCAAUCAAACCGGGAGAUAGCUGGUUCUCCCCGAAAGCUAUUUAGGUAGCGCCUCGUGAACUCAUCUUCGGGGGUAGAGCACUGUUUCGGCUAGGGGGCCAUCCCGGCUUACCAACCCGAUGCAAACUACGAAUACCGAAGAAUGUUAUCACGGGAGACACACGGCGGGUGCUAACGUCCGUCGUGAAGAGGGAAACAACCCAGACCGCCAGCUAAGGUCCCAAAGUCAUGGUUAAGUGGGAAACGAUGUGGGAAGGCACAGACAGCCAGGAUGUUGGCUUAGAAGCAGCCAUCAUUUAAAGAAAGCGUAAUAGCUCACUGGUCGAGUCGGCCUGCGCGGAAGAUGUAACGGGGCUAAACCAUG
rnacentral:rRNA from 1 species